AUGUCGCGGCCGGAGUGCUCAACGGCGAGCUUGCACGCGAAUUGCGGCGCCCCUGGCGCGGUGCCGUCCUCCCUGAUGCACACCAGCGACACGGUCGUGGUGACGCCGUCGUCCUCGCCAAGGGACACGAGGAAUAGAUUCGGGUGCUGGUCGGCGCCAGAAGAACGAAAAAAAAACGCCCGACUGUGCGUCCUCGAGCGAGGUCUCGUCGCCCCGACACUGCCCUCCUUCGCCCGCCGCCGCCCUUCGGUCCCUCGGCCCGAUCUCCGGUCGCCGUCCUCCACCGCGUCGGCGGCCGCCGCGGCGUGGCGCCACCUGCUGCUCCUCCUCACCGCCCAACUGCUCGCGCUCGCCCUCCUCGCGUUCGCGCUCCAGUGGCGCGGCGGCGGCGUGGACGACGCCGGCUCCCCUCGCCUGGCCGUGCCGGCCCCGUCGAGGCUGCAAUCCCUCCACUCCUCCGCCGCCUCCUGCGUCGAGGUGCUCUCCGCCCCCGCCUUCCCCUACCUCCGCGGCUGGUCCUUCCACUUCGACGCGCCGGACACCCACCACCCCAAAGAGGGGAUGGAGAGCUUUACAAAUGGGAAUGUUAGGUUAUUGAAGCAUGAACGCAGCAUUGUUGCAGAGGAUGAUCUUGACCGUCGGUGGCAGGAAGCCACUGGAGAGGCUGUUUCCGAGGUCUCCAACCGCCCUGCACUCACUGUCCAUCCAAUCGGUUGGUUCUGCAUUCAUUGAUUACACUUGAAGCUACUCACCAUGGACCACCAUGAAGCUACUCACCAUGGCCGAUGUGUCCGACCUGCUGAUCUUUUGCUUGCUUGCCAGGUGUGCGUGCAAACGAGCACCUCCGCAAGCCUGGACCAGAUCCUGCCGUGGCUCUUCUACCAUAAGGUCAUCGGUGUCGCACACUUUUUUCUCUUCGUCGAGGGCAAGGCCGCCAAGCCCAGCGUCGCCGGGGUCCUCGAGGGUGUGAAGGUGGUGUACAGGACCAAGGAGCUUGAGGAGCAGCAGGCCAGCCGAAUCCGGAACGAAACCUGGCUCGCAGGAUUCUUCUACAAGCCUUGCAACCACAAACUGUUUUUGAAGCAAGCACUCAACAUGGAGAUGGCCAUUGUGAUGGCCCGGUAUUCCAUCAGACGCCUGUUAGCUGACGUCCCCGAUGAUGUUGACAUGGUUAUUUUUCCUAACUAUGAAAGCAGGGUCGAGCAUGAUGAUAUAAAAGAUCCAUUCAGUGAGUAUGAUACUGUGGUAUGA
rnacentral:rRNA from 1 species